GAUCCAUACUGUUGUCGGUGCAGGUUUUAAGUUGCUUCAUACCACUGAAAUAAUUAGCUGUGAUAUGAAUGCACUAUUAGAAAUGGUAUAGAAUGUGUAUGGGUAGGUGCCUUACCGGGCUUAUGCAUGCUUCUUGCUUCUGAAAUAAUCAACUGUGAUGUGAAUGUACUAUUAGAAAUGGUAGUUAUAGACACUUCCCAUACAACAUGUGUAUGGGUGGAUGGAUGGGUGCAUGUCAUUAUGGUUAAUCAUACAUUACUGGGCUUGCACAUGCUAGAAGCGACUUCUCAAUAGGUUUAUCAUAUCGUAAUGAUUGUGAAAUUCAUUUAUUCUUAUUCAACUCAACUAAGCCUUUAU
rnacentral:misc_RNA from 1 species